rnacentral:lncRNA from 1 species
UUGGGUCCAGUGCGAGGAUGAUCAGCUGAGCAGCAGAGCAAUGAGGACUCAGGACUAAUAUCAGAGUGGUAGAGAUGAUACAUCUGGAACAAGUUUUAUGGAAAAGUCAGUUAUUGUGCACAGUACCCAGCCUGAACCAGUGAUCCUGAAACCAGCAGUUUAUAGCAGAAAUUUCCCUAGUGCUCCUGCACGCACUUUCCUUUGCUACUGAAGCCAAAGAAUAGAAACA